GAUUUUGAUCCUGGCUCAAGAUGAACGCUGGCGGCGUGCCUAACACAUGCAAGUCGAACGAGCAUGUGCAUGAAACCUAGUGAUUGCGCAUGCGAGUGGCGGACGGGUGUAUAACGCGUGGACAACCUGCCGCAUGCAGGGGGAUACCGGCUGGAAACAGCCGCUAAUACCGCAUAUGCGCACAGCGCCGCAUGGCGCAGUGCGGAAAGGGAGCAAUCCCGGCAUGCGAUGGGUCCGCGUCCGAUUAGCUUGUUGGCGGGGCAGCGGCCCACCAAAGCAACGAUCGGUAGCCGGCCUGAGAGGGCGGACGGCCACAUUGGGACUGAGACACGGCCCAGACUCCUACGGGAGGCAGCAGUGGGGGAUAUUGCACAAUGGGGGGAACCCUGAUGCAGCGACGCCGCGUGGGUGAAGGAGUGCUUCGGCAUGUAAAGCCCUAUCGGCAGGGAAGAAGCAAGACGGUACCUGACUAAGAAGCCCCGGCUAACUACGUGCCAGCAGCCGCGGUAAUACGUAAGGGGCGAGCGUUAUCCGGAUUCACUGGGUGUAAAGGAAGCGUAGACGGCCAUGCAAGCCAUGGGGUGAUAGCCCGGGGCCC
rnacentral:rRNA from 1 species